rfam:Capsicum annuum cultivar Zunla-1 unplaced genomic scaffold scaffold5760, whole genome shotgun sequence
CGACCCCAUGUCACGCAGGAUUACCCGCCGAGUUUAAGCAUAUCAAUAAGCGGAGAAAAAGAAACUUUAAAGGAUUCCCUUGGUAACGGCGAGGGAACUGGAAAUAGCCCAGCCUUAGAAUCGAGCAGCUCUGUCACCUGAAUUGUAGUUUGGAGAAGCGUCCUCAGCGGUGGACCAGGCCCGACUCCCCUGAAAGGGGGAACCAGAGAGGGUGAGAGCCCCAUUGCGCCCAGACCCUGUCACACCAUGGGGUACUAUCUAGGUGUUGGGUUGUUUGGGAAUGUAUCCAAAAUCGGGCAAUGAAUUCCGUCCAAUGCUAAAUACGGGCGACAGUUCAAUAGCGAACAAGUACUGUGAGGGAAAGAUUAAAAGGACUUUGAAAAGAGAGUCAAAGAGUGAUUGAAAUUAUCGGGAGGGAAGUGGAUUGGGACCAACGAUGCGCCCCGGUCGGAUGUGAAAUAGCAAUAAACUGGUCCGUCGAUCGACUCGGGGCGUGGACCAGCGUGGAUUGGGAGGCAUCUAAAGCCCAGGAUCUUGAUACGCUCGUGGAAUUCCGUUUUCUCAAUUGUGGCAGGCAGCGCGUGCCUCCAGCAUGCUUUAGCAUCUGCGCACGACGGGUUUUCGACCCGUCUUGAAAACCAGGAUGUGGCGGUCAACAAAAAUGUUAGAAAGUCUGUACACGUCGGUGGGAGCCUCGGGAAGAGUUAUCUUUUCUAUUUAACAGCCUGCCCACCUUUGAAUUGGCUCAGCCGAAGGUAGGGUCCAGUGGAUGGAAGAGCACCGCACGUCGCGUGUUGUCCGGUGCACUACCAGCGACCCUUGAAAAUCUAGAGAACCUAAUAUCACCCAUUACCGAUCGUACUCAUCACCACAUCAAGUCUCCAAGGAGAACAACCUCUGGUCGAUGGAAAAAUAUAGGCAAGGAAAGUCGGGAAAAUGGAUCCGUAACUUCUGGAAAAGGAUUGGUAUUGAGGGCUGGGCACGGAGGUCCCAGUCCCAAACCCAUCGACUGUCGGUGGACUACUCGAGCUGCUCCUGCAGUGAGAGCGGGUUGCUGUGUGCCAGUCGGGGGAUGGACUAGGAACGGUUCCAUUGGAGGCAUUCCCCGCGCGUCGAAUAGCCAACUCAAAACUGGUAUUAAUAAGGGGAAUCCAACUGUUUAAUUAAAACAAAGAAUUGUGAUGCUCCCAACGGAUGUUCACGUAUUGUGAUUUCUGCCCAGUGCUCUGAAUGUCAAAGUGAAGAAAUUCAACCAAGCACGGGUAAACGGCGGGAGUAACUAUGACUCUCUUAAGGUAGUCAAAUGCCUCCUCAUUUAAUUAGUGAUACGCAUGAAUGGAUUAAAGAGAUUCACACUAUCCCUGUCUACUAUCUAGAGAAACCACAGCCAAGGGAACGGGCUUGGCAGAAUCAGCGGGGAAAGAAUACCCUCUGGAGCUUGACUCUACUCUGACUUUAUGAAAUGACUUAAGAGGUGUAGUAUAAGUGGGAUCCGAAUAGAGAAAGUGAUAUACCACUACUUUUAACGUUAUUUUACUUAUUUUGUGAAUCGAAAGUGGGGCACUGCCCCUCUUUUUUGACCCAAGGCUUGCUCUGCGGGCCGAUUCGGGCGGAAGACGUUGUCAAGUGGGGAGUUUGGAUGGGACAGCACAUCUGGUAAAAGAUAAUGCAGGUGUCCUAAGAUGAGCUUUACGAGAACAGAAAUAUCGUGUGGAACAGAAGGGUAAAAGCUUGUUUGAUUCUGAUUUCCAGUACAAAUACGAACCAUGAAAGCAUGGCCUAACGAUCCUUUAGACCUUCAGAAUUCGAAUCUAGAGAAGUCAGAAAAGUGUUACCACAGGGAUAACUAGCCUGUUGCAGCCAAGCGAUCAUAGUGGCGUCGCUUUUUCAUCAUGUGAACCAGAUUUCACCAAGUGUUGGGCUGUUCACCCACCAAUAGGGAACGUGAGCUUGGUAUAGACCGUCGUGAGAUAGGUUAGUUUUACCUUACUUAUGACAGUAUCGCAGUAGUAAUUAAACCUAGUAUGAGAGGAAAUGUUGAUUCACACAAUUUGUCAUCGCACUUGGUUGAAAAGCCAAUGGUGCAAAGCUACCGUCUGCUGGAUUAUGACUGAAUGCCUCUACGUCAGAAUCUGAGCUAAAAGCGAUGCAUGCAACCGCUGUCCACUUUCUGACCCACAGUUGGGGCUUCAUCCCGCAAGGAAACGUGUCGUUUGCUAAGCAACCACGGCGAAAGAGUCGCGGUGUCCACCUUGAAGUGUAAUUUCAAUCGAGCGGCAGGUAGAAUCCUUUGCAAAUGACUUAAAUAUGAGAUGGGGUAUUGUAAGUGGAAGAGUGUCCUUGCUGCCACGAUCCACUGAGAUUCAUCCCUUUGUCGCUCUUGUUCGU